rnacentral:rRNA from 1 species
ACCCGCACAAGCGGUGGAUGAUGUGGAUUAAUUCGAUGCAACGCGAAGAACCUUACCUACCCUUGACAUGUCCGGAACUUGCCAGAGAUGGCUUGGUGCCGAAAGGGAAUCGGAACACAGGUGCUGCAUGGCUGUCGUCAGCUCGUGUCGUGAGAUGUUGGGUUAAGUCCCCGCAACGAGCGCAACCCUUUAUCAUUAGUUGCUACGCAAGGGCACUCUAAUGAGACUGCCGGUGACAAACCGGAGGAAGGUGGGGAUGACGUCAAGUCCUCAUGGCCCUUAUGGGUAGGGCUUCACACGUCAUACAAUGGUCGGUACAGGGGGUUGCCAAGCCGCGAGGCGGAGCCAAUCCCACAAAGCCGAUCGUAGUCCGGAUUGUUCUCUGCAACUCGAGAGCAUGAAGUCGGAAUCGCUAGUAAUCGCAGGUCAGCAUACUGCGGUGAAUACGUUCCCGGGUCUU